UAAAACUUAUCAACCUUCCCACAUGGGUGCUGAAUCGCCAGUGUUGCUGCAUCAAUGGCCUGGCAAUUCCCCAUUUUGCAGUUCUUGCUUUUUUCUUCAGAAGUCAGAACAAUAUAUUAAGAAUUAACAACGAGCAGGAAGCAAAGGUUGAAGAAUGAAACAGUCUCUUUAUAGCCAUACCACUCAACAACUUUGAAGUGGGUUGUAAAUGGCUUGGCCAUGAACCAUGAUUAGUAAAGGCACAAAUUGUUUAAUAUAGUGAGAUUAACCCACAAAGGGGAAAGUUUAAAUCAUAGUAAUUAAAGAAGAGCAUUUUGGUUAAUGAAAGUGUGGGGGGGAAUAAAGUAAUAUUAACGUAAGUUUAAUUGAGAUAUGGUCCUAGCAUGGCAUCAUGUGAGCUGUGAAUGGUUGUCACAAGGGACAAACAAAAUUAGAGCCAGAGAUGACUCUGUAGACUGUGUACCCCUUGAUAAUGAAGUCCAGCAAAAGCUCUAUCACCUUAAGAAAUUAACCCUAGUUUUGCCCAAUCAUCACAGUAAAUCGGACUGGUUUGGUUCCAUUUUUUUAAAUUUUUCUUUAAUUUUAGUUGAUUUUUUUUAUAUAUAUAUCAAAUCGAAAUGAAUGCUCCUCAUAUGGUCCUUGCUUUUGAUUUCAACUAAAAAUUUAUUUGUCCCUACUGGCUUUAAAUAGUACACCAAAACAAAAGAAAAAAAAAGGGGUCAAAAUUACAUGUUCAUCACCAAAAUCAUUAAAUCCAAAAUUUAAUAAAAAUAUUAGAGAAAAAUCAAAUUAUUUAUGUAAAUUAAAUUUAAAUCCUAGUUACGGUGAAUCUAUUAUAAUGAUGCCUUUGGUGGGCACGCUCUUGGGAGAGGGUGGGGGAGAGGUGGGGCAGUGGACCAAGCAAGAGAAGAGAUCAGAGGCGUUUCGUGCUGGCCACCGAACCAAGGCAUGAAAUUUUGGGAAUGUGAAAGAAGCCUCAACAUAUUUAAAAACACGCAAUCAGUACAUGUCGCGUGUGGCCUGUGCCUGCGACUCUGAGCGCAGAGGGGCUUCUUUUUGCUUACCCUUUCACCUUUGUGAACACAAAAGGCCUCUUUUUAAAGAGGGAUCCUCAUCCCAUUUCGCCAAAAAGCUCUGCUUUUCCUUCAAGCUUCUAGGUGGGCAGGCCGGAAAUUUUACUUUUCUUUUAUGUUUCUCUUUGUAACUUUGUUCCUCUUCUUUUCAUACAUAGUGACCAGGGUUCAUUCUCAUGACCUCACAAGCACUCACAGGCCAGUAAAACUUAUCAACCUUCCCACAUGGGUGCUGAAUCGCCAGUGUUGCUGCAUCAAUGGCCUGGCAAUUCCCCAUUUUGCAGUUCUUGCUUUUUUCUUCAGAAGUCAGAACAAUAUAUUAAGAAUUAACAACGAGCAGGAAGCAAAGGUUGAAGAAUGAAACAGUCUCUUUAUAGCCAUACCACUCAACAACUUUGAAGUGGGUUGUAAAUGGCUUGGCCAUGAACCAUGAUUAGUAAAGGCACAAAUUGUUUAAUAUAGUGAGAUUAACCCACAAAGGGGAAAGUUUAAAUCAUAGUAAUUAAAGAAGAGCAUUUUGGUUAAUGAAAGUGUGGGGGGGAAUAAAGUAAUAUUAACGUAAGUUUAAUUGAGAUAUGGUCCUAGCAUGGCAUCAUGUGAGCUGUGAAUGGUUGUCACAAG
rnacentral:lncRNA from 1 species